rnacentral:rRNA from 1 species
CCUGGCUCAGGACGAACGCUGGCGGCGUGCUUAACACAUGCAAGUCGAACGGUGACGAGGAGCUUGCUCCUCCGAUCAGUGGCGAACGGGUGAGUAACACGUGAGUAACCUGCCCCAGACUCUGGGAUAACAGUUGGAAACAGCUGCUAAUACCGGAUACGAGACGGAGAGGCAUCUCUACCGUCUGGAAAGUUUUUCGGUCUGGGAUGGACUCGCGGCCUAUCAGCUUGUUGGUGAGGUAAUGGCUCACCAAGGCGACGACGGGUAGCCGGCCUGAGAGGGCGACCGGCCACACUGGGACUGAGACACGGCCCAGACUCCUACGGGAGGCAGCAGUGGGGAAUAUUGCACAAUGGGCGAAAGCCUGAUGCAGCGACGCCGCGUGAGGGAUGACGGGCCUCGGUU